AAACCUUACCCGAUGAAAGAAUGCUUGCGCUGUUUGUGAUUCCUCGAGGUUAUCUAUGAAAUUGUAAAAAUACAAAUGUAAGCACGAAUUAAUUACCUCUUAUGAAAGUUAAAAAUAAUUUGAGAUUUCAAAUUUGUGUUUUAAUAUCGUGACGGUCCAGUCAGUUAUAAAUUAAAUCUAAGGUGGUACCUCAGAUCUUCUUUGUUACGGUUCUUUGAAGUAUCCAUCAUUUGCAUAGUUCCAGUUUUUUAUUCGGGACUGUUUAAAAUAAAUAAUGCUUUUGGUAAAGAUUCUUUUUUUCCGAAAAAAUUGUGAGGAAUUGAUCUUGAAACGGAACCAUUCGAAUUAGAUGAAGAUACCUACAUCAUGGCCGGGAUGCUAAUCAGUUUACUAUAAAAAAAAUUAUAACAGUUUUAAAAGUGACAAACGGCGUCAUAACAAAUUAUAGAAAGAAUUAUUUGAAAAUAUUAAAAUCAAAAUGGCGGAUUGCUAAAUAUUCGUGUUUCCAAAUAAAUAAGAAACAUACAUACACACAAAUACUAUUUGUGCCGACUAAAAGAGUAAGAAUAUUUUAUUAUAAGUGUGCAUUCUAUACAUUUGUUCUUAGAUACACAUAAAAUGUUAUAAUUUCAAAAUAAUAAAAUACUGUUUUAA